AAAAAAGAGAUUUCUUUUAUUUAACAAUUGUACAAAUGAUAAAACAAUACCAAAUGCUAUACACAGAACAAGAAGAAAACUAUGUCAAACAGAAUGAUCCUUGGCAGAAUAUACCUUAACUCUAUACAAAUAGAAUCUGGAGGGCUCAGUAGCAAUAGUACUGUGAAACAAUGUUAUUCUCUGUAAACUCUUUUCCUGUGUUAUAUCCAUUUAAAACACUUGUGCUUUUGCCUACACAAAUAAAUACCAUAGUAAUGUGUUACUGAAAUCAAUAAUCUAAAUAUUGAAUCCUUAAUCUAUAAAUUGCAGCAUAAACAAAUUUUUAGUCUUAAAAUUUUAAAAAUAUUUCAAACAAACUGAAACCCUGUUUUAACACUAUUCAUCAAAUCAGUGAAAGCCUAAAGGAAGAAUGGUAACAGAAAUACUAAGGAAUUUUGUAUAUCUCAUCAAAAGGGGUAUGUAUCUCAAAUAUAGCAUUAUAACAAGGUUCCAUAAUGGACAUGAUAUAGAUAUUUGUAGGUGAAACACAUCAGUUAUAAACACAUACAUAAACAGCAUGACAAAAUUAUCAGUGAACUAAAAAUUUUGAGACACCCUGUAUUGUGUAUGUGUAUACAUAUUUGUUUGGAUUUCAUUUGUACUUUUCACCAAAACAAAUAUAAUUAUUCUAAUACUCAAUUCUUUAAGUAGCUAGGGAAUGUGUAAUGGUUGAUGAGGAAAUUUUAUCCCAAGCUGUAAAGAUAACUAAUACAUAUUUCUCCCAUGCCUUUUCUCUAAUUCAAGAAAGAAAUUAUACAAAUAUAUAUUAAGCGCCUCCUUUGUGCAAGGCACUGUUCUAGCAUCUGGAGUUACGAUAAAUAUUACCUACUAAUAGACACUUAAAAUAUUUUUCUAUGGACCAAAUAUCAAGUCAUGUGCACAUGUAACUAAUUUUUCAAAUGAAAACUAAUUCCUUUGUACACUCUCUUUCUGUGUAAUAUCUUAAUAUCUAAUAGGUAUAUACACUAUUCCUAGGAUUUUGCUUAACUUUUUUUUGGUAAGCAUAAAUGUAGAUAUUCCCAUUAACAAUUGAUAUAGAAUUCACAUGAUAUACAACAUAAGGAUUACUUUGAGCAACCAGCUUCUUCUGUCCUUCCCAGACAUAAUUUUCAUAAAAAUUUUAGUUUUGUUCACAAUUUAACCAGUUUCAUCCAUUCCUGUGGUUGAAAUACUAAAAGUUAACCAGGAAAUCACAGAACAUAAUUAUCUGAGACUGAUCAAUUUGUAUUUUGGUAACCUUAUAAUUAUUAUUGAGUUCAUUGAGCAAUAACCAUUAUAGCUUUACUGUGGAUUGUUCAUGCCCCCAAAAGUCUUUUUAUUUAAAGGACAGAAAUACUAAAUUAAGCACCUGCCUGGUGCAGAACUUUCCAGUAUCAUGCAGAGGGUUUUAAAUUUUGAAAUAGAAGUGGAUUAAUGCUGAGGAAUAUGUGACUGUCCUAAAGCAACAUGAGAUAUGUCAAGUAUUUGAUAAUAUUUUGAUUUACUCUACAUUCUCCUGUCUUGACUUUAUAUUUAGACAUUUUUCUCUCUCUGCCCAUAUAGUUAUUCUCUAUUCAUUUCUUUGACCUAUUCUUAUAAAAAAGGCCAUAUCAGAUAGUUAAGGAGAAGGGAACAAGGAAAGGUAUAUAGUAGAAAAUGAAAUGGGAUGGUACAGGUUGCUACUUUGAGCAUGAAAUGCCUUUAAAUGAAUUCAUUUCAGAGUAUUAAAAGCUCCCUGAGAUUGACAAAAGUAGUCUCAGUCAAUGCUGAAGCCCUUUUUUUUUUUUUUUUUUUUUUUGUUUGUUUUGUUUUUGAUGCUGGACUCUGGUAUGAAGGAAUAUUUUCAGAACUGGGAACAUAUUUGGAGAAUACAAGCAAAAAGUCACAAAGAAAUGAGAAGCUAAAAAGGCACUACUUAAUUCAUCUUUGAGAUAGCAAUGCACAGAUAAGUGGACAGUAGAAAUGCUUUUGUUGUGGCCUUACAAAACAGGCUUAAAUUCAUUUGUUGAAUUAAAAAAAAAGAAAUGUAGCAUCGUUUGCCUUCAUUCCUGCUGGUUGAGAGAUAUACUGAAUGUUUCUGUGAGCCUUCCUAGCCUUUUAGGACUUAAUAUAUCAACUCUGAGUAGAUUCAGAAAUUUUCCACUGUAUAAUCCAAUCCAAAUAGAUAGUAUCCGUAACUUUUCUGCUUUAUAUUUGUUUAAGUGCUGAAUUUUAAAUAAUUUUAUCAGUAACAUAAUCAAAAUACAAUUCUAUUGUUUCAAAGAUGAUGAAUGAUUUUUAAUGAUGUGGACCAAUCUUAUCCUUUUUACACUUCAUUUCAGUAUUGAAUGAUGCUACUAUUUUCUUUAUGCUUUUUGAGAAAUAUCAACAUUUUAGGAAAAGUCAUGUAAGCCAAAUAUUUAUCCUGCAUUUUAAUAUUAUCACAUAAAGUAUCAAAAUACAUAUAGUUAUAAUGAUUCCCAUUUCUUCAAAAUGAAAGCAUAUAUAGCUCUGUGUGUGUGUGCCUAUACUGAUGGUACUGAUUUUCCUCCUUUAAAAAAAUGGUUUUUAUUUUGUGAUUUCAUUGGUGUAAGGAAUUCCCAGUGAAAAGAUUCCCUCUACCAAGGCAGGGCAAGAACUGUUGUAAAACACAAACUGAAAGUUAACAGGAACAUUGAGAGGUUAAAUAUAUUGCAGUGUCCCAUAGCCAUUAUGUGUCAGAGCUGGGAUUUAAAGUCAGUUCUUAGCUGGCUAUCUAUUCACCAAAUUGAGAUGCUUUACUACCUGUGGUUCUGCUUCUUAGCAUCUAUGAUAUGUCAUGAGCAAGUUACUCUCUAUGGUCUCAGUUUCCUCAUAUGUAAAAUGAAAGUAUUCUUCUCUAAGGUCCUUUCUGGCUAUAUGACUGUGGACAUUUAAAACAAAGGUGCAUUUGUGUAUAUAUUAUAUAUACAUAUUUGCAUAUACACACAUAUACAUAUAUAUAUAUCAUAUAUAGAUAUAUGUACACACACAUACACAGAGAAAAAGGGAGGAGAGACACAGAAACAGAGACAAUGAGGCAGAAUGGCAUCCUGGAUAGAGAAGUGGUCAUAAAUUGUGAUGUUCUGAAUUAAAAUCCCAGCUUUGGCAAAUAUUGGCUGUAUGGCUUUAAGCAAGAUACUUAAUAUCUCAGUGACUCAGGUAACCCUUUCAAACUUUAAGUCGAAGAAAAAAAUGAUUAUCUUCACUGAUAGAAUUUCCUCACAGAUUUCCCUAAAACAAUUAAAAGGCAGGUCUGGUUGGAGAAAAAAAAAAAGGUGACAACAUACAUAUUGUGUAAAUAUCAUCAAGGACACAUAUGAUUUAAAAAGAAGGCAGAUCAGUCAAGUAUUAAAAAGGACAACAGCUGUUUAGUCAGUGUGAUAAACUUAUAAUUUCUAAAUAGUAAAAGAAAAAAACAUGCUGGAACAGAUGCAUUAUGGAAGAUAUUUGGAAAAAUAUGGACAAAAUAAUAUAUAUUGUGAAAGAGAUGCCAUGUACAUAGUUCUCUACAUGCAGUGGGUACUUAAUAAAUGUUUCUUACUUUUAUAUAAGUGAAGAAAGUACCUACUGACCUAUCACAAGUCCAUCAAAUUAAAUGAGUCAU
ensembl:lncRNA